rnacentral:rRNA from 1 species
UACAGAGGGUGCGAGCGUUGUCCGGAAUCACUGGGCGUAAAGGGCGCGUAGGCGGCCUGAUAAGUCGGGGGUGAAAUCCUGUGGCUCAACCACAGGGCUGCCUCCGAGACUGUCGGGCUCGAGCACAGUAGAGGCAGGUGGAAUUCCCGGUGUAGCGGUGGAAUGCGUAGAGAUCGGGAAGAACAUCAGUGGCGAAGGCGGCCUGCUGGGCUGUUGCUGACGCUGAGGCGCGACAGCGUGGGGAGCAAACAGG